rnacentral:lncRNA from 1 species
AUAAGGAUGAUGAAUUCCACGUUCGAACAUACUAUAACUAUAAAACAGUUUCUGAAAAUCGAGAUGGAAAUAAAGAAAAUUCUAAUUUAGAAUUUUUCAAAAUAAAAAAAAAAGAGGAUCGUUAAAAAAAUCAAUACAUAGCACAAAUACAAGAACAGAUAAGAAGAGAUGCGACUUCCACCUAUAUAUUUUGUUACUUCUCCUACAAAGAAACUUGUAAUACCUACUCCAUUUGUAAUUCCAUCAAUGAUUCGUUUAUCAAAAAAAUUCGUUUGUUUUGCUAAUUUUCUUAUACUUUCAGUUAAAGAUUUUUUAAAAAAAGUAUCUAUGUAACCACGAUUAUAUGACCAAUUAUAUACAAAAUUUAUUGGUUUUUCCCACCUAAUUCUUUUAGAACUCCACUUUUGAAAUGAAUUAAGUAAAGUUAAAUUUAAUCUAGAUGAAUAAAAAGGCUUAUAUAAACAGUAUGCUAUAAAUAUUCCAAACAAAGCUAUACUGACUGAAAAAAUUGCAUUUUUCAAAAAUUCAUACCAAUCUACAAAAUUUUCUGAAUUGGUAUGCAAAAGGUUUAUCGACGGCGUUAAUAAUUUUGAUAAUAUAUCAAAGUCUAUUCCUUCUUGAUUGAAAGGAAUUCCUAUGGCUCCAAUAAACAAAGUAAAUAAAAGCAAUACAAGCAUAGGAAAUAGAAUAGUAUUGUCUGAUUCAUGGGGAUAAUAGAAAGUUCUUGUAUUAAGUCCAAAAUUUUCAACAGUAAUAAAAGUUUGAUUUCUUACAUUAUUACUAAUUUUAUAUGUUUUAUUGCCAAAAAAAGAAGCUCUUUUCGUAUUAUUCAUUGUUAAUAAUGGUACUAACCCAAAAUUCCUAUUAAGUUUUUUAUCUUCUUCUUUACCCCAUAAAGAAAUUGAAUAGAAGGAGCUACUUUUUUUUCCACUAUAAUUUAUAAAAUAAGUGUUUAAAUGGCCUUCAAAAGUAAGUAAAUAAAUCCGAAACAUAUAAAAUGCGGUUAAUCCCGCUGUUGAACAAGCUAUUAUUGCAAAAAUUGGCGAAAAUAACAAACUAUCAUUAAGAAUUUCAUCUUUAGACCAAAAACAAGCAAGGGGGGGAAUACCACAAAGUGAGAGUGUUCCUACUAAAAAGGCAGUUUUUGUAAUCGGCACAUGUUUUGUCAAACCACCCAUAAGAAUCAUAUUCUGACUUUUAUCAGGAGAAUAGCCAACUAUAGCUUCCAUUGAAUGAAUAAUGGAUCCAGAUCCUAAAAACAACAAAGCUUUCGAAUAAGCAUGAGUAAUCAAAUGAAAUAAAGCGGAUCUAUAAGACCCCAUACCUAGAGCUAACAUCAUAUAACCCAGUUGAGACAUUGUAGAAUAGGCUAAACCUCUCUUAAUAUCUUUUUGAGCAAGAGCUAAAGUGGCUCCUAAGAGUACUGUUAUUAUACCUAUCAAAGAUAUUAUAUACAUUAUAGAAGGGAUAACUAUAAAAAGAGGAAGAAGACGAGCUACAAGAAAAAUUCCCGCUGCUACCAUAGUAGCAGCAUGUAUAAGAGCCGAAAUAGGAGUAGGGCCCUCCAUGGCAUCCGGCAACCAUACAUGAAGAGGAAAUUGUGCAGAUUUAGCAAUAGGACCCACAAAUAAUAGAAAUGCACACAAAGUAAGGAAUAAGAGAUUUAUUCUAUUAUUUAAUAUUAAAUUAUUGAAUAUUUCGAACAAAUCUUGAAAUUCGAAACUGCCAGUUAUCCAAUAAAGACCUAAAAUUCCUAAUAAUAAACCAAAAUCACCUACACGAUUGGUUACAAAAGCUUUUUGACAGGCAUUCGCUGCAAUAGGUCGUGUGAACCAAAAACCUAUUAAUAAAUACGAACACAUUCCAACUAAUUCCCAAAAAAAAUAAACUUGGAUCAAAUUAGAACUAGUAACUAAUCCUAACAUUGAAGUAUUAAAAAAACCCAUAUAAGCAAAAAACCUCAGAUAUCCUUGAUCAUGAGACAUAUAAUUAUCACUAUAAAUCAGAACCAAAAUUCCAACAGUUGUAAUUAAUAUUGACAUAAUAGAAGUAAGUGGAUCAAUAAAGUAACCGAACUCAAAAGAAAAUUCAUUAUUUAUGGUCCAAGACCAUACAUUUUGAUGAAUGCAACUUAGAAAAAUUUGUUGAAUAGAUAGAUAGAGCGAAAAGAUCAUAACUAUACUUAACAAAAAAAUACUCAGAAACGUCCACAUACGUCGAAGGUUUUUUGUUGCUGUCGGAAAAAGUAGAAGUCCAGCUCCGAGUAAAAUAGGUACUGGAAGUGGAAUGAAAGGGAUGAUCCAUGAAUAUUGAUAUGUAUGUUCCAUAAAAUAAAAAACCCUUUUUAUUUUAUUCUUAAAUUUAUUAUUUCUUAUUCACUGGUUUGUAUAUAUAUAUAUUUUUUUCAAAGGGGAUAAUAAAAAAGCGCAUUUUUUCAAACUUAAAUAGAAAUUUUUUCGAAUUAGUAUAAUCCUUCAUAAACCUUUGAAAAGAAAUAUAUUCAAAUCAAAAAAUUAGAAGUUAUUAACUAAUAUUACUAAGUUACUGUAAAAAAAACGAUUUGUCUUUUUUUUUUUUUACUACUAAAAAAAAUUUUGAUUUUAUGCAGAUACAGAAAAAGUGAAUUAUAAUUCCGUAUUACAAUAAUUUAUAUACAUAUAUUAAGAAUAGAACAAAGAUUUACACGACAAAAAAAUACUUAAUAUUAAGUAUAAAAAAAAGUUAUUUGGGUUUGAUUAUUUAGAAUUAUUAUUGAAUUAUGGAAUUUAGUGAUUGUCUUCCAGUACACUAAGUGAGCUUUUUUUUUUCAAGAAAUAUUAUUAUAAUCGAUAUUUUUUUUUACAUAUGAAGUGAAGAAAUUUAAUAAAAUUUUUUCUAAUAUAAUCUAAAUCUAUCAGUAUAGAUUAAUUAAAUGAGCACUCUUAUACGGAUUUAAAACGUUAAAUACAAAAAAUUUUUCAAGAAAAAGGGAAAAAAUAGUUGGGUUUUAAACUUUUGAAUGUCUGUUUUGUUUGAAAAAUAAUAUAUAAUAAAAUUUGAAAGAAAAAAAUUACUCAAUAUGGAGUACGAAAGAAUAGAAUAAUAAAUGUCUUUGACAUCCAAUUAUACCACUGAAAAACUUUUUUCAUUUUUGAAUGGCAGUUCCAAAAAAACGUACUUCUAUCUCGAAAAAGCGUAUUCGUAAAAAAAUUUGGAAAAGGAAGGGAUAUUGGACAUCGUUGAAAGCUUUUUCCUUAGGGAAAUCGCUUUCUACAGGUAAUUCAAAAAGUUUUUUUGUACAACAAAAUAAAUAAAAAACACUAGAAUCAUUAGAAUUAGCCUAACGUAAAAACCAAUUUUUUAGAAUACAUAUAAAUUAAAAAAAUCUAUAGGAACCAAAAAAAAAAAAAAAAAAGAUAAUAUAUAUAUAUACGAAAUAUACGAAAGAUUCCUAUUGAUUUUGUAAAAAAAAGGGGGGGUUAUUACUUUCCCCAUCAAUAAAAAAAUAAAUAAAGAUCUUGUAUUUCCUCUUAACUAGGAAAUACAAGAUCUUUUAGCGAAAUCAACAGGUUCUUUAAAUUAAUUUAAGUCAAAAAUUUUUCACUUUAUACCUUUAGGAAUUAUUAUUUCUCUUAAUUCUUAUAUUCUUUACUUGGAAUCAAAGUUAUAAAAGUAUCUAUCCACGAUUAAGUGAAUAUUAGAUACUAAUAAGUAAUAAUAUAUGAUAUUUUUUUUAAGCGAUCAAAAAAUAUUAUGUUUGUACAAUAUAAAAAGAUGCAUGAAAAUAGAUAUUUUGACAAUUGUUGUUUUUCAUUUUUCUUGAGCAACUUAGGCAAAUUUUAGUUAAAAUUUCUAAGGAUUUUGGAGAAGUUUUAAUUUUUAGAAAAAGCAUUUUUUUAGUAAUAAAAUCAAUUUUAAAUUCCAUUAAAUUAGCUUCUUUAUUUAAAAUUUGAAUCUCGACGAUUGAGUAAAAACUUGUUAGUAUUAUUUUGAACAAGUUGCCGCUAUGGUGAAAUUGGUAGACACGCUGCUCUUAGGAAGCAGUGCUAGAGCAUCUCGGUUCGAGUCCGAGUAGCGGCAUAAGAUCUUAUAAAAGAGAUAUUAUAAGUUUUAUAAUCAAAUUAAUACCCGACUUGUUUUCUAAAAUCGGGUAAAACCUAGUAUUAAUUUAUUAAUUUUUAACAAAUUUUUUAUGAUUUUUUCAAUUUUAGAGCAUAUAUUAACUCAUAUAUCUUUUUCGGUCGUUUCAAUUGUACUACUAAUUUAUUUUUUAACUUUAUUAGUUAAUUUAGAUGAAAUCAUAGGAUUUUUUGAUUCAUCAGAUAAAGGAAUCGUAAUUACGUUUUUUGGUAUAACAGGAUUAUUAUUUACGCGUUGGAUUUAUUCAGGACAUUUUCCAUUAAGCAAUUUAUAUGAAUCAUUAAUUUUUCUUUCAUGGGCUUUUGCAAUUAUUCAUAUAGUUUCCUAUUUUAAUAAAAAAAAAAAAAAUCACUUAAACGCAAUAACUGCGCCAAGUGCUAUUUUUAUUCAGGGUUUUGCUACUUCAGGUCUUUUAAACAACAUGCCUCAGUCUGCAAUAUUAGUACCAGCUCUCCAGUCCCAGUGGUUAAUGAUGCACGUAAGUAUGAUGAUAUUAGGCUAUGGCGCUCUGUUAUGCGGAUCAUUAUUAUCAAUAGCUCUUCUAGUCAUUACAUUUCGCAAGGUCGGAUCUACUUUUUGGAAAAAGAAUAUGAAAAAUAAAAUGUUAUUAAAUGAAUUAUUUUCUUUUGAUGUACUUUACUACAUAAAUGAAAGAAAUUCUAUUUUACUACAACAAAAUAUUAAUUUUAGUUUUUCUAGAAAUUAUUAUAGGUAUCAAUUGAUUGAACAAUUAGAUUAUUGGAGUUUUCGUAUUAUUAGUCUCGGAUUUAUCUUUUUAACCGUCGGCAUUCUUUCAGGAGCUGUAUGGGCUAAUGAAACAUGGGGUUCAUAUUGGAAUUGGGAUCCGAAAGAAACCUGGGCAUUUAUUACUUGGACCAUCUUCGCAAUUUAUUUACAUAUUAAAACAAAUAGGAAUGCUCGAGGUAUAAAUUCUGCAAUUGUGGCUUCGCUAGGUUUUCUUUUAAUUUGGAUAUGCUAUUUUGGCGUCAAUCUUUUAGGAAUAGGUUUACAUAGUUAUGGUUCAUUUACAUCGAAUUAACUAAAACAUUAACAAAAAAAGAAAAGAAUCCAAAUAAAAAAAAUAGCAUCUAUAUAUAACUUCAUCUAAGUUAAGAAAUCUAAUUUAGUUUUAGUAGUAAAUCAUCAAGAACCUUUUGAAUCAAGUAGUACAAUGAUUCAAAAGGUUCUCACAAUACAAAAAGCAAAGACUUCUUAUUAUAAUUCAAUUUAAUGUUUUUUUUUAUUUCCUGAAAACUAUCCAUAAAAAUAAUUAGAUAAAAUGGAUUCGACCUUGUCACUUGCUAAUGAGAGCACAAAAUCAGGAUAAAUCCCAAUACCAAUUAUGGGUAGAAGAAUAGAGAUUGAAAGAAAUAACUCUCGGGGUCCAGAAUCAAAAAAAGAAAAGUUUUUGGCAUUAAUUAACUUGUAUCCAUAGAACAUUUGACGUGACAUAGAUAAUAAAUAUAUAGGAGUUAAUAUCAUUCCAAUUGCCAUUACAAAAAUAAUUAAAAUUUUUGAAAUUAAGAAAUAUUUUUGGCUGGUAAUUAUUCCAAAAAAAACGAUUAAUUCGGCAACAAAACCACUCAUGCCCGGUAAUGCAAGGGAAGCCAUCGAUAAGAUAGUGAACAUUGUAAAUAUCUUUGGAAUGGAGAUAGCCAUUCCACCCAUUUCAUCAAGAUAAACAAGCCGGAUUCUAUCAUAACUAGUUCCUGCCAAGAAAAAAAGUGCAGCGCCAAUAAAUCCAUGAGAGAUUAUUUGUAAAAUAGCUCCAUUAAGCCCAGGAUCCGUUAUAGAACCAAUACCUAUAAUUAUAAAACCCAUAUGAGAUACAGAAGAAUAGGCUAUUCUCUUUUUUAAAUUACGUUGACCGGGAGAUGUUGAAGCUGCAUAAAUUAUUUGGAUUGUACCGACUACCAUCAACCAAGGAGAAAACAUAGAAUGAGCGUGAGGUAAUAAUUCCAUAUUGAUUCGAACCAAUCCAUAUGCUCCCAUUUUUAAUAAGAUUCCAGCGAGAAGCAUACAGGUACUGUAAUGUGCCUCGCCGUGGGUGUCAGGUAACCAAGUAUGUAAAGGUAUAAUCGGUGAUUUGACGGCAAAAGCAAUAAGAAAUCCAAUAUAAAAGAGUAUUUCGAGUGUGACCGGAUAGGCUUGAUUCCCUAAUAGUUCUAAAUUUAAUGUUGGUUCGUUCGAACCAUAUAAACUUAUACCUAAAACUCCUAUUAAUAAAAAAAUAGAACUUCCUGCAGUGUAUAAAAUAAAUUUUGUAGCUGAAUACAAACGUUUCUUUCCACCCCACAUGGAUAAAAGGAGAUAAACGGGAAUUAAUUCUAAUUCCCACAUGAUGAAAAAAAGUAAAAUAUCCCGAGAAGAAAACGAUCCUAUUUGGCCGCUGUACAUUGCUAACAUCAGGAAAUAGAAUAAUCGGGAAUCCCGAGUAACUGGAAAAGCCGCUAAAGUAGCUAAAGUAGUAAUAAAUCCGGUCAGUAAAAUCGUUCCUAUAGAAAGUCCAUCUAUUCCCAGUCUCCAAUAAAAAUCAAAAAGAUUGAUCCAUUUAUAAUCUUCGGACAGUUGAAUUAAUGGAUCGUCCAGUUUAAAAUUAUAACAAAAAGCGUAAGUCGUUAGAAGAAGUUCUAAGAUACAAAUGCAUAUAGUAUACCACUUAUUAACUUUAUUUCCCCUAUGCGGGAGAAAUAACAUUAAUGAACCGGCAGAUAUUGGAAAAACAACAAUUAUUGUUAACCAAGGAAAAUCAUUCGUGGUAAAGACAAGAUACACCAGGUCCAAAGAACGCGUACUCAAAAAAAUAUAUAAAUAAAAAAAUAUAAUUGAACUUUUUUGAGUACGAGUACUUGUCAAUAAAAAAAAUAAAAUGUAUUCCAAAUUUAUUCAAAUCAGGUUUUCGGUAACGUAUUAAUAAGCUAGACCCAUGCUUCGAGUUGUUUCAUGCCAUAAAUAAACUCGAACGCUCAAAAAAUCCGUUGGACAGGCAGAUUCACAUCUCUUACAACCAACACAAUCCUCGGUUCUUGGGGCAGAAGCUAUUUGCUUAGCUUUACAUCCAUCCCAAGGUAUCAUUUCUAAUACGUCUGUAGGACAUGCUCGGACACACUGAGUACAUCCUAUACAGGUAUCAUAAAUUUUUACUGAAUGUGACAUAGGAUCUAUAGUUUUUUUAAUGUCAUAAAUUUUCAAUCUAGUAAACUUAUAACUAAAUGAUAUAUUAAAUUAAAAUACUAGAUGAAGCAAUGAUUUCUUUUAAUAGAAUUUUUUAAUGAAUUCUGGCUCAAUUGGUAAAAAAUGGGGCUAAAAUACUUUGAUUUCUUAAAUUUUCACAAAUUUAAUCUAGUAAGUCAUAACCUAUCAUAUAUGCAAAUUUAAACCUAUAAUUUUUUGAUUUAUGCUACUUAUUUAAUAAGGUCGAUUGGUUGAUGCGAGUUGAUUUUCUGUUACGAUAAAUUGACGAGACUAUAGCUAAUCCAAUAGCUGCUUCAGCGGCUGCAAUUGCUAUAACAAAAAUGCAGAAAAUAUCCCCUUUUAGUUGGGAAUUAUCAAAAAAAUCAGCAAAUGUUACGAGAUUCAUAUUAACUGCAUUGAGUAUAAGUUCAAGGCACAUAAGAGCCCUAACCAUAUUUCGACUCGUGAUCAAUCCAUAAAGACCAAUCAAAAAUAAAUAGGCACUCAAAACAAGUACAUGUUCGAGUAUCAUUGAGCAACUCCUUAUCAAUUUUGAUUCAUUAUCAAUAUGAAUAAUAAAAACAAUUCACCGGAUUCAAUCAACUAGAAUAUAACAACAAAGUACGAAUAAAAACUAUAUUAGGGAAAAAAUUUCAAAUAUAUAUAAAAUAUAAAAAUUUAUAUUUAAAAAAUGAAAUAGUAUUCAAUCAAAUUGAAUGAACGGAAAAAAAUAUCAUAACAUACACAAACACAAAGUUUUCUUUGGUCUUUACUAAUUGGAACCUUUUUUAUUGACGAGCCACAGAAAUUGCACCUAUCAAAGCAACUAAAAGAAUUAUUGAAAUGAGUUCAAAUGGAAGAAAAAAAUCUGUUGAUAAAUGAAUUCCUAUUUGUUGACUAUUACUUAUUAAAUCUUGUUCUAAAAUCUGGUUUAAUCUUGUAGUCCAAAUAACCCCGUACCAUGACGUAUCGAGAAUAGUAGAAAUUAAUGAAAAAAGAAUAGUUGUACAAACCACUGAAGUAAUCCCAUUCCCAACAGUCCACAGAUUGAAAUCUAUGGAAUAUUCGGAAUCAUUCAUGAACAUCACAGCAAAUAUGAUUAAAACAUUUAUGGCUCCCACGUAAAUAAGGAGUUGUGCAGCAGCUACAAAAUGGGAAUUUGCUAGAAUAUACAAUAAAGAUAUACAAACAAGAACAAAUCCUAAGGAAAAGGCUGAAAAUAUUGGGUUAGGAAGUAAUACCACUCCCAGACCUCCUACUAGAAGACCAGAUCCCAGAAAAACUAAAAGAAAAUCAUGUAUUGGUCCAGGCAAAUCCAUUAUAUUAUUAAAAAAAGAAAAAAUAGAAAUCCUUUUCAUGACCUUAUUAAUUUAACCGGGGAAUUUUUUUUUAAUAUGUUUCUAAUAGAGUGAAAUUAGAAUCUAAUGAAUAUUAAUUGAUGUAGAUACAAUUAUUAGACAGUUUCGCUUUUUUAUUCUAAUAUUUUCAACCUAUCUAUUUCAAGCAAGAUAAUAAUUACGAAAAUAUUAUAUUAAAAGGAUGAGCCUUAAUACUUAAUAUUAUUCUAUAAAUACAAGUUUUUAAUUAAAUUCUUUAUAUAAUAUAAUUCAACAGUUUUGCAUUCUUUUUUUAAUAAAAUUAAUGGGUUUACCCAUUUUUUGUUUGAGGUGAAUUCAAAAUUGUUCGAAUAGUAUAAUCGUCAAUUACUGACAUUGGUAAACGCCCCAAAGCGAUUUGAUUAUAAUUCAACUCGUGACGAUCAUAAGUUGAAAACUCAUAUUCUUCAGUCAUUGACAAACAAUUUGUUGGACAAUACUCAACACAAUUACCACAAAAUAUACAAAUUCCAAAAUCAAUACUGUAAUUAAGCAAUCGUUUUUUUCGAAUAUUAGUUUCCAAUUUCCAAUCAACAACCGGCAGAUCUAUAGGACAUACUCGAACACAUACUUCACAAGCAAUGCAUUUAUCAAAUUCGAAAUGGAUUCGACCGCGGAAACGUUCUGAUGUUAUUAAUUUUUCAUAGGGAUAUUGAAUAGUUACAGGUAAACGAUUUGUGUGGGAUAAGGUAAUCAUGAAACCCUGACCAAUAUACCUUGCAGCUCGUAGGGUUUGUUGACCAUAAUUCAUGAACCCGGUUAUCAUAGGAAGCAUAUUGUAAUUAUCUAUGAAUAAUUUGAUCUUUGUUUCUUUCUCUUGUUUAAAACAAGUAAUGAAUAUCUUGGAUUGAUUUUCAAUUUAGAGUGAAAAGAGUUGGAAAGAAGUUGUUAAUAAUAGAUUAGCAAGGGAAAUCGGUAAAAGAAAUUUCCAUCCAAGAUUUAAUAGUUGAUCCAUUCUUAGCCUAGGUAAAGUCCAUCUGGUUGCGAUAGAAAUGAACAAGAACAAAUAAGUUUUAGCUAAUGUAAUAAAGAUACCAAUUGUUGUUCCAAAAAUUUGAUCCUUUUCAAAUAGCUCCAGCAUAGAUAUAUACGGAAUAGAAAUAUUCCAACCGCCUAAGUAUAGAACUGUUACAAAUAAUGAGGAAAUUAAUAGAUUUAGAUAAGAAGCAACAUAAAAUAAACCAAAUUUGAUACCGGAAUAUUCAGUUUGAUAACCUGCUAUUAAUUCUUCUUCCGCUUCUGGUAAAUCAAAAGGUAACCUCUCGCAUUCUGCUAGGGAAGAAAUUAGAAAAAUGAUAAAACCUAUAGGUUGACGCCACAAAUUCCAUCCCCAAAAACCAUAUUUUGAUUGUGCCUCAACUAUAUCAACUGUACUUAAACUGUUAGAUAAUCCUAGUCGGUGAUAACAUUACUAUUCUCACCGCUAUUACAAAACCGUACAUGAGGUUUUCGCCUCAUACGGCUCCUCGGGGGCCGUAAAUAAAUAUAAGGACCAGAUUAGUAUUAUUUAGAUGGAUAUGAUGUGUUCUAAAAUGGAUUAAAUAGAAAUAUAUCUGGGGUCCCGAAUUAUACCAAUGGAAUUCUGUCUGCUCAAAUUCUAAAACUAAAAAACGCGCUUCGGAAUUCAUCUCAUCCUUUACAAAUUUUAAUUUCUAUUUGUUGAGUAAUAACUUAAUCCUUUAAUAAAGCACCCCUUGUAAAACUAAACCUAGGUUUUUCAGCCCGUCGUGUUUUUCAAUUACGAAAAAGAAUUAAACAUCCUAUUAGUUUCUUAUUCAUGAUAGAAAUUCUAUUUUAUUUUCGAAAUCUAUAAAAAAAAAUAUACUUGUUUCGUUCCUAUUCUUCUUUCUUUCUUUUUUAGAAAAAAAGUAGGUGGACUUAAAAAAAAAUAAAGGAUUAUUUCGUUUCUGAUAGUCAUUACAUUUAUCGGUGGAUGGGAGCAUACUCUGAAUCGGAAUCUUGGGGAGUACUGCCUGAUAAUUUCUACAAAUUUCAAGCCCCAAUUAACCUUCUUUUUUUGUUAUCUUAUGUUAUGCAUAAAUAUCCUUUUCAAUUUGGUUAAUCUCUAUUACAAAUUCUUUGUGUAUUUUGGUGUUUCUAACCAUCCACGCGUUUUUACCUAAUUGCCGAUCACUUUGUAAUAUAUGUAUAUGUAUAGUAAUUUAUAUAACUGAUAGUGAAAACGUCAUACGGUUAAUAUUUUUUUUAACCCGCUUCAAGCCCGGCUGACUAAUCAACCAACCUUGGGGUAAAGCGAUUCUUACGCUUACGUUUAUUUCCAUUUAACCUUUGUACAUAGGAAAUGAGACUUAAUUUUUCUUUUUACUGCUAAUUUCUGAGCAGUUUUUUUUCACUCAUAUAUAACUAUCAAAUUCAAAUUCCUUUUAUUAAGAUAAACCCGAAAGAUAAAUAUAUAUAUUCCGUUUUUUUUUUCAUUUUUUUUUUAUCUAGAAGAAACGGAAUAAACCUUUCUGUUUCAACGAAUCGCACGUAGAGAUAUUGAUAAAACACAUAGAGUUAAUGGUAUUUCAUAACUAAUCGCUUGAGCAGCAGCUCGCAGACCACCUAAAAAAGAAUAUUUAUUAUUUGAUCCAUAUCCUGACAUAAGAAGUCCGAUCGGAGCAACACUUGAGAUGGCAAUCCAUAAAAAAAUACCGAUAUUGAGAUCCGCUAAAACAAGGUGAUUGCUAAAAGGAAUUACUGAAUAACUUAGUAAAAUAGAGAUAACUGCUAUAGAUGGUCCAAUACUAAAUAAAGGAGUAUUUCCUCUAGAUGGACGAAGAUCUUCUUUGAAAAGUAGUUUUGUCCCGUCGGCUAAAGCUUGAAGAAUUCCUAACGGGCCGGCGUAUUCAGGUCCAAUACGUUGUUGUAUCCCUGCAGAUAUUUCUCUUUCUAACCACACAAUUACUAGUACACCAGUUAUGAUUCCCAAUACAAGAGAAAAUAUAGGGACAAAUAUCCAUAUGAGUCCAUAGACCUCUUUUAAAGAUUCCAAUCUAAGAAAAGAAUUUAUUGUUUGUACUUCUGUUGCAUAAAUUAUCAUUUUAACGAUCAACUUCUCCCAUAAUUAUAUCUAUGCUACCGAGUAUCGUCAUAAUAUCAGCCAAUUUCAUUCUUUUAACUAGUUCAGGAAGAAUUUGCAAAUUAAUAAAACCCGGCGGUCGGAUUUUCCAUCUCCAAGGAAAACCACUUUGAUCUCCUAUGAGAAAAAUUCCCAAUUCCCCUUUUGGAGCUUCAACUCUUACGUAAAGUUCUUGUUUCGAUAAUUCAAAAGUAGGGGAAGGUUUUUUACUAAUGAAUCGAUAUUCAAAAUCAUUCCACUCUGGAUUCCUUUUUUUAUCAAAGCCUCUGCUUUCUAAAUUUUCAUAGGGACCCCCCGGAAGUCCUUCCAGAGCCUGUUGAAUAAUUUUGAUGGAUUCUGUCAUUUCGCUAAGUCGUACUAAAUAACGAGCUAAUGAAUCUCCUUGUUUUUGCCACUGAAUUUCCCAUUCAAAUUCAUCGUAAGACUCAUAACGAUCAACUUUACGAAGAUCCCAUGGUAUUCCGGAUGCGCGUAACAUUGGUCCGGAUAAACCCCAAUUUAUUGCUUCUUCCCCACCAAUAAUCCCAACGCCUUCAACUCGUUCUAAAAAAAUAGGAUUUCGUGUAAUAAGUUUUUGAUAUUCAACAACCUCUGUUAAAAAAUAAUCACAAAAAUCCAAGCAUUUAUCUAUCCAACCAUAAGGUAAAUCCGCCGCUAUUCCUCCAAUACGAAAAAAAUUAUGCAUCAUUCUCAUACCGGUGGCAGCUUCGAAUAGAUCAUAUACAAAUUCUCGUUCUCUGAAAAUAUAGAAAAAGGGAGUCUGUGCCCCAAUAUCUGCCAUAAAAGGGCCAAGCCAUAACAGAUGAGAAGCUAUACGACUCAAUUCUAGCAUAAUUACUCUGAUAUAGCUGGCUCUUUUAGGAACUUGAAUAUUUCCUAAUUGUUCGGGUCCGUUUACUGUUAUUGCUUCUGUAAACAUAGUAGCUAAAUAAUCCCACCGCGUUACAUAAGGUAAAUAUUGUAUAAUUGCUCGGUUUUCUGCAAUUUUUUCCAUUCCUCUGUGUAAAUAACCCAAUAUGGGUUCACAAUCAACAACAUCCUCACCGUCUAGAGUAACAAUUAAGCGAAGAACACCGUGCAUGGAUGGGUGGUGAGGUCCCAUAUUGACUAUCAUAAGAUCUUUUCCUGUAACUGGUCUCUUCAUAAGUUUUUCCUUGAUUCGUUCUGGUAUGAAUUAGAUUGCUGAAAAAGAAGUUUAUUCAAAAAUUCAAGAUCUAAAAAAUUAACUAAUUCACAAUUUUGGAAUUUAACGAGUUUUUAAUUCCCGAAUAUUCAACUGAUUAAUUAAUUCUUUAUAACGUACUCUAUUUUUUUUUGACAAAUAAGCCAGCAGUCGUUGACGUUUUCCCAGAAUUUUUCGUAGACCUCUCUGAGAUAAAUAAUCUUUUCUGUGCAAUUCCAAAUGUGAAGUAAGUCUUCGUAUCUUAUUAGUGAAACUGACUACUUGAAAUUCAACAGAUCCCUUGCUUUCUUCUUUUUUUUCUUGAAAUGAAAUGAAUGUAUUUUUUAUCAUAAAAAGAAAUCCUUCCCUUUUUAAUAUGAAUUGAAAGAUAUGAAUUUUACUGAUCAGUAAUAAUAAUGGUAGUUUUUUUGUACAAGGAUCCGAAUUUAAUUAUCAACUUAUUAAUUCUUAAUUUUAUAAAAAAAAAGUUUAAAUUUCGAUCUAAAAAAGGAGGAUUUUAAAAAUUUAUUUAUGAAUUCGCUCUGAGUGGUAUCUAUGUCAUUAAUUCAAUGAAUCUCAUGUAUAAAGAUUGAAUUAAAAAAAAUCCCUCACAUUUGUGCAUCCAAUUGUUUUCAUAUACCGUAACUUAUAUUAUAUAUUGUUCAUAUACCGUAACUUAAUACUAUAUAUAUAGUCAAAAUAUAGUAAAAAGGAUCUACCAUUAAUGCAUUUGAAAUCGCGUAUACAUGUGUAUUCUUAUCAUACUGAAAUGAUUUCCAUUAGUCGUAUUAAACCAAUAGCGAUUCAUACAAGCUAAAUCUUCUAAUCGAAAAUUGGGCCAAAGAAAGGAUUUUAAUUUAAUUAGGUUUUUUUUAUCCUUAUCAAGAUCUUUCUUUUUAUUCAAAACUGUGGUCAAGUUUUGAAUAUUUGUAUCAAAUUUUGAAUUUCUAUCCCUUGCAUUUUUUUUUUUUAAAUUGAAACAAAUUAGAAUUCGAAAUUCUUUACGUCGUUUAGGGGAUAGAAUAGUUUCAGGGACAAAGAAAUUUAAACUUUUUUUUUUAUAAAUAUAGCUUUUUUUUUUUGAUCUUUUACUUAUUUUUUGUUUAUUUUUAUGAACCAAUGAAAUCCCGAUGGUUCUAUAUAUAAUAAGUUGGCCGUCGUUUUUUACAGACAAACGAACAGGUUCAACAAUCAAUAUUCCUUUUUUCAUUAAUUUUGAAAAAGUGAAAUUCUUCUCAAUCAUUAGAAUAUCUAAGCUCAUCUCUCCUCUUUCAAUACAAGAUAUCGUUAUCUCGGUUGGAUUUUUUAGUCUAACCAAGAGACAGUAUGCUUUUACAUUAUUGAGGAUUUUUUGAUUAAAAAAACAAUUCCAUCGCAAUUGAAAACGCGAAUACCUUUUGAGAAAUAAGUCAAGUUCCGCUUCGGUAUUGCUUUUUGGUUUUUUUUUAUUUUUACGUUUUUUUAUCUUCGAUUCUGUAUAAUUUUCUUCAAUAUUUUUUUCUUGCUUUGAUAGAGCUGAUUCCGUAUUUAUUUUUGUUUCUUUAUCUGAUUCAAACUCUUCUUGACCUGCUGAUUCGUUUUCUUCUUUAUUUAGAUUAAAAAACCGAAGGAAUUUUUUUUCGUUUGAUGGUAUAAAACCUUUUUUCUUUAGGGUGAUCUGUUUAUUCACAUUUUUUGUUUCAUUAAAAUUGAAAAGAAGUGAUUUAAUUGGUAUGACCCACGGUUUCAUUUUAUAUGUACUAGAAAAUAAGAAAAAUUCUGGAAAGAAAAAAAAGUCAAAAUUUGUUAUACGAGGAUUUAGUAUUUCUUCAUUCAUUCCCAUCCAAUCAAAAAAAUUUAUUUUUUGAUUGGCAAGACUCGUCUUAGUUAUUUUAUAAAUUCUUUUAUAAUUCUUAACUUUAGUUUUAAUAUAUUUUUUUUUACUCCUAGUAUCAAGCUCAAUAUUUACUUUUUUUCUAAACCAAAAGUUGAGAAUUCUCCAAUCCAAAUAUUUUCUAUGCAAAAUUUCCCCUAUACUGCGAAUAUUAUAUUUUUCUAGAAAACAAGAGAUUAAAAAAUUUUCUAGGCCUGUAGACAUAUCAAAAAAUUUUUCUGUAGAAUGAAUAGAUUUGUAGCAAAAAAGAUUAUAUAUAGAAUCCUUUUUGAAAUUCUGUUUAUGUUUUGGAUUGAAAAAUAAGUUAGCCUCACAAAAAUUUUGUUUUUUGUAAUUAUCAAAAAUUUUUUUUUCGUAUGAAUCCACUUUGUUUAAACUUGGAUUUAGAACUAGAGAGUCUUGGUUUAGUUUUUUUUUCCAUUUUUGGGUUACUAAUCUAGCCCAUGCAAUCUGAGGUAAAUUAUAUUGAGAAUGACUUCGUAACCAGUUUUUCCAUUGAUUUAUUUCGGAAUUUAAAAGGGUUUUAUCUUUCCAUUCAUAAUGAAAGAUUCCUUGUUCUUUAAAAAAAUCUUUUAUUUGAUUCUUAACAAAAAAGGAUGUUAUGUAUAUGUUAUAUUCAAAAAAAGACUUUAAUUUAGAAAAGUUACUAACUUGAAUUUGUGAUAAUUUGUAAAAUACAUAUGCUUGUGAUAAAGAGCAUAAGUCAUAACUAAAAAAAUUUUUUUUUGAUAUGAAAUUUUUUAUAGUCGAAAUAAAAUAAAUGGUAUUUUUUUUUUUUUUUUUUUUUCCAUUUUCCUUUUUUUUGUAAAUAUAUANNNNNNNNNNNNNUUUUUUUUUUUUUUUUCUCCAUUUUCCUCAUUCUUGUAAAUAUAUACAUCAAGAAUUUUUUUUGUUGAAUCAACAAAAAGUUGUGUAGUAAUUCUUGGAAUAUUAAUAAUACCUAGAAAAAUAGAAAUAGACAGUUGUUCAACGCAAAAUUGAAAAAAAAAAAAAGAUUUACGAAUUAAUCGAGUUUUUUUUUUUUUUAAUGUCUGCCAACUUUUUUUUGAUGACUCAAUUAUUUUAGAAUCAUAACACAGUUUGUUACAACUAUUAGUUAGUUUUUCUUUUUCUUUUGAAAUUUUUUUCGUUUGAUUUCUGAUUGUCUUUAUUUUAUCAAUCACAUUUUUUAUUUUGUUUUCGCUGAGUGAAGAAUUUGGCCACUCCGUCGAUUUUUUUUGAACAGAUAGUUCAUGAAUCAUCUGAUUACUCAUUAUUGAAUCUUUUUUAGUUUCAUUUAAUUCAUAUAUUUCUCUCGGGCCAACUAAUGGAAUUCUAUUUCGUUUUGAAAGGUUUUUUUUUUUUUCUUUUAGAAAAAGCAAGUUUUUUAUAAUCCAGUUUUUAAUUUCUUUUUCGACUUUUAGGAAAAUUGUUGCUCUUUCUUUGAAAAUCCUUAAAACCGGAAAAGACUUCGUUUUGGAUUUUUUGAUUCUUUUUUUUAAUUCUUU